UAGGGAAUCUUCGGCAAUGGACGAAAGUCUGACCGAGCAACGCCGCGUGAGUGAAGAAGGUUUUCGGACCGUAAAACUCUGUUGUUAGAGAAGAACAAGGACGUUAGUAACUGAACGUCCCCUGACGGUAUCUAACCAGAAAGCCACGGCUAACUACGUGCCAGCAGCCGCGGUAAUACGUAGGUGGCAAGCGUUGUCCGGAUUUAUUGGGCGUAAAGCGAGCGCAGGCGGUUUCUUAAGUCUGAUGUGAAAGCCCCCGGCUCAACCGGGGAGGGUCAUUGGAAACUGGGCGACUUGAGGGCAGAAGAGGAGAGUGGAAUUCCAUGUGUAGCGGUGAAAUGCGUAGAUAUAUGGAGGAACACCAGUGGCGAAGGCGGCUCUCUGGUCUGUAACUGACGCUGAGGCUCGAAAGCGUGGGGAGCAAACAGG
rnacentral:rRNA from 1 species